rnacentral:lncRNA from 1 species
UUCCCUGGGCCUCUCUCUCUCUCUCUCUCUCGUGGAGAGAUUCAAAGAUGUCCUCAUUAUAGUAUGGAGAUUCAGAGGGAGGAAUAUAGAGAGCGCAUAAGAAAACAUCUCUCUCUCUCUCUCUCUCUCUCUCUCUCAGGCCAGUCCCUUCAGCAGAAGAAUCAGCCAGAAAUCGAUGAGUCCCAAACCUAAAGACUCAGACCCGUUUGCUGCGUCAGACCCAUUUGGUAGCAACUCUUUUGGCGGGAAAGGAAGUUUCGCUGAUUUCUCUCAAAUGUCAAAGAGCUCGAGCUCAGAGCCUCAGAGCCGAAAGCCGACGUAUCCGCUGCCUCCUCCCAAAAAACCCGGACCGCAGAGACCAGCGCCGCCUCCUUACGGUGAGAAAAAAAUCCUUCCAACAGCAAAGUGUGCUUGUGAUUUACUGAUUUAAUAUCUCGUUCGUCUGAUAAGCAUGAAUGUGUGUGUGCGUGUGAGUUUUAAUUAUGUAAAAAUGCAUUAUGACGUUUAUCUUGCUAGUUUGAUUAUGCGGUGAGGAAGAGUGAAAUGAAAUGUUUAUCUGGUGUAGUAAUAUAUUAUUAUAAUUAUGUGUGCAACGUGCCAUAGCUGAAUUUAAAAAGCGUAAUAUCUGGAGCAAAAUCUUUAUUUUAAAUGAGAUCUGUAGAAUGAGUUUUGGAUUUUAUGAUGUGUUGUUGAUUUAUUGAUUUCGGUCCACGUAAACAUCAGUUAUUUUAGAAUUAUUUUUAUUACUGUAAUAGUAAUUAUAAUUUAUAAUAGUAUUAUAAAAUUAGUAAAAAUUUAAAAUGUUCAGUUUUAGCACUUUUUGUUUUACGCUUUUGUCCUUUUUGUUCAGUUAAAGUUUUAUAAUUUUAGUACUUUAGAACUUUUUUAUUAAUUAUUUCAGUUAGCUGCCAAUGCACAUUUGCAAUGUUUUUAUAUUUUUAGUAAUAUUGUUUUGGGCUUUGUCAUUUUUAUUAGUUAUAUAUGUUUCUAUAUCGUUUUAAUAUAUACAUUUAAAUUUUUUUUUUAUAUAUAUAAAUAUAUAUAUAUUUGCAGUUUAAUUAAUUAAUUAUUUCAAUUAGCUGCCAAUGCAACAUUUGCAAUGUUUUUUUUUUUAAUUUUUUAAUUUGUUUAAUUUUUUCAUGUUUGCAGUUUUUCAUUUUAGUUUAAGUUUUAGUAAUUUCCUUUUGGGCUUUUUGUCAUUUUUAUUAUUUAAGUUUUAUUAAUUAGUUAGCAUUCAUUUUGUGUUCUGUCCUGAGAGAAAACUUGUCUGAUGGGAAACUUCCUGAAUGAAAUCGAGGUUUGUAUUACAGUUUAAUUAAUUAAUUAUUUCAAUUAGCUGCCAAUGCAACAUUUGCAAUGUUUUUUUUUAAUUUUUUUAAUUUUGUUUAAUUUUUUCUAUGUUUGUCAGUUUUCUAUUUUAGUUUUAAGUUUUUAGUUAAUUUCCUUUUUGGGUCUUUUGUUCAUUUUUAUUUAUUUAGUUUUAUUAAUUAGUUAGCAUUCAUUUUGUGUUCUGUCCUGAGAGAAAACUUGUCUGAUGGGAAACUUCCUGAAUGAAAUCGAGGUUUGUAUUACAUUGUAUUCCUUACAAAUUAUUACUGUAUAAAAAGGAAAACGUCUAUAAUCUCAAAUUUUCCUUUUUUGUUAAAUGUAUAUCGCAGCUAACGUCUGCAUGAAAUGCUAGCCUUCUACAAACCUCUAAAAAAUAACCCAGAAAUUAUUUUUUAGUGUAUAUAUUAUAUUUUCAGUUUUAAUAUUUUUUCAAAUAAUAUUAGUACUUAAGUACUUUUUGUAUUAAUUAAAGUACGUUUUUCUAUUUAAUAUUUGUCAUUUUUAUUUUAUUUUUGCUUUACUGAAAUUAGUUUAAAGUUUAGUUCUAAAAUAUAAUUGGAAACUUCCUGAAUGAAAUCGAGGUUUGUAUUACAUUGUAUUCCUUACAAAUUAUUACUGUAUAAAAAGGAAAACGUCUAUAAUCUCAAAUUUUCCUUUUUUGUUUAAAUGUAUAUCGCAGCUAACGUCUGCAUGAAAUGCUAGCCUUCUACAAACCUCUAAAAAAUAACCCAGAAAUUAUUUUUUAGUGUAUAUAUUAUAUUUUCAGUUUUAAUAUUUUUUCAAAUAAUAUUAGUACUUAAGUACUUUUUGUAUUAAUUAAAGUACGUUUUUCAUUUAAUAUUUGCAUUUUAUUUUAUUUUGCUUACUGAAAUUGUUUAAAAGUUUGUUCUAAAUAUAAUUAUAUAACAAUAUAAAAAUAUAAUUAUUAGUUGUUAUAUAUAUAUAUAAUAUAAUAACAGCACUGGCAAGUGAUAGUUGUCACAUAAGUCCCCUCUUUGCCUUUGCCAUACUUUACAAUCUGUUUAUUUCUAGUAAAAUGCCCCAUAGACUUCCACUGUAAGUACGUUAUUGUAAACUCUGUAGACAAUACAGACUUGUACCACAUUUCACCACACGCAAACAAGCUCAAUAAAAUGACAGAUCAUGCAGAGUGAGUCUGAUCAUGGAAGGGCAAACACUUCCCCAUUUUAACGAUAUCGAAGCGCAUCAGUGCAUGUUGAGAUCAUCAUCGGACAGCUGUGUGAGGAAAGAUAAGAGUCGUCUUGGUAUGAGAUAUUUGUCUCCACUGCAGAGGAGAAGAACGGUUUAUUUGUCUAUACUUCACCCAAAAAUGAAGAUUCUUGUUGUUUCGAACCUGUGUGACUGUGUUAACGCUGUUUUUGCAUGCAGUGAAACCAUAUACAGUACUAGUUAAAAGUAUGGAAACAUUACAGUUUUUUCCAAAAAAACAAAACAGUAAUAUUGUGAAAACAUUUUUGCAGUUUAAAAUAGCUGUUUUCAUUGUGAAUAAUAAUGAUAAAAAAGUAAUUUAUUGCUGUGAUUAAAAAAGGAUUUCCUUCAGAUAUUUAUGCAGAAACCAUGAUAAAUGUUUGUUGUGUGUUUUCAUUGAAAUCAAUGCUUUUAUUACGCAAAUAUGCAUUAAAUUGAUCAAAAGUGCCAGUAAAGACAUUUAUAAUGUUACGAAAGAUUUCUAUAUAUAUAAAAAAAAGCUGUUCUUUUGAACUUUGUUCAUCAGAGAAUCCUGAAAAAAAUGUUUCCACAAAAUAUUAAGCGGCAAAAAACUUUUUUAGUAUUGAUAAUAAUAAGAACCAUUAUUAAUAACUGAGCGCCAAUAUUAAUUAAGCAGCAAAUCUGCAUAUUAGAAUGAUUUCUGAAGGAUCAUGUGACACUGAAGACUGGAGUAAUGAUGCUGUGUAUAAAAGGAAUAAAUUAUAUUUUAACAGAUAUUCGCAUAGAAAACAUCUAUUUUAAAUUAGAAUAAUAUUUCACAAUAUUAAUGCAUUUUUAAGCACAUAAAUGCAGCACCGGACCAGAAGCGCAGCGCCACGUUGCAUCUAGGACAACUCACUGGUAAAUAGUUAAUCUAAUCACCAAGUAGGCAAACGUUCACUUCAAGAAUUAACAAAGUGGCAUCAUUGAGUUUAAAGUUUGGUGUUUGAAAAAACAGAGCAAAUCUAAAGAGAAAGGGCGAUCUAUUUCACAGGUGUGUGUACACUCAUAGAAAACAAUGUGAAAUAUAUAUGUGUGUAUGUAUAUGUGUGUAUAUAUUUUAAAAAAUAUAAAUUUAUUAAUAAUAAUUAUAUAUUAUAAAUAUACUUAAUAUGUAUGUAUUAUUAAAUGAUUAAUUAUAAU